AUUGAACGCUAGCGGCAGGCUUAACACAUGCAAGUCGAACGAGCGGCGGACGGGUGAGUAAUGUCUGGGAACCUGCCUGAUGGAGGGGUAUAACUACUGGAAACGGUAGCUAAUACCGCAUACCAUCAGAUGUGCCCAGAUGGGAUUAGCUAGUAGGUGGGGUAAUGGCUCACCUAGGCGACGAUCCCUAGCUGGUCUGAGAGGAGGACCAGCCACACUGGAAUUGAGACACGGUCCAGACUCCUACGGGAGGCAGCAGUGGGGAAUGUUGCACAAUGGGAGAAAGCCUGAUGCAGCCAUGCCGCGUGUGUGAAGAAGGCCUUCGGGUUGUAAAGCACUUUCAGCGAGGAGGCGGUACUCGCAGAAGAAGCACCGGCUAACUACGUGCCAGCAGCCGCGGUAAUUC
rnacentral:rRNA from 1 species